rnacentral:rRNA from 1 species
AUUGAACGCUGGCGGCAUGCCUUACACAUGCAAGUCGAACGGCAGCACGGGAGCAAUCCUGGUGGCGAGUGGCGAACGGGUGAGUAAUAUAUCGGAACGUGCCCAGUCGUGGGGAUAACGUAGCGAAAGCUACGCUAAUACCGCAUACGAUCUAUGGAUGAAAGCGGGGGAUCGCAAGACCUCGCGCGAUUGGAGCGGCCGAUAUCAGAUUAGGUAGUUGGUGAGGUAAAGGCUCACCAAGCCGACGAUCUGUAGCUGGUCUGAGAGGACGACCAGCCACACUGGGACUGAGACACGGCCCGGGACUCCUACGGGAGGCAGCAGUGGGGAAUUUUGGACAAUGGGCGCAAGCCUGAUCCAGCAAUGCCGCGUGCAGGAUGAAGGCC